GUUUGAUGAGAAAUGUAAGCUCAUUGUUUAAUGAUAUGAUUCAACAACUGAAGACUGAACUAGAAAAAAUUGAAUAUGUUUGCAUUACUUCAGAUUAUUGGAGUAUUUUAUACAGGUAAAAUAUUAAUUUUAAAUUAUCAAAAAAACUAGAUUUUUAAUUGUCAUUUAAUAAUAAUAUUAAAACUAUAUUUACAAAAUAAAUAUAUUGUAGAUCAUAUAUGGGUUUUACAAUUCAUUGGCUGAACCCAAUUACAUUGGAACAUAAUUCCUGUGCACUUGCUGGUAGACGUAUGUUAGGGAGGCAUACAUACGAUAAUAUAGCAGAAAUAAUUGAAAAAGUUCUUACAGAAUUUGAUAUAUAGUCUAAAACUACUCACUAUUGUCACUGAUAACGCAGCAAAUUUUGUAAAAGUUUUUAAGUAAGAUAUAUAUUUUAGAAUUGCCUAUUUGUAUUAGUUAUGAAUGUUAUGAUUUAUAAUAAUGUAUUUUAACGAAUUCAUUAAGCUAUGAUUGUUGUACACCAAAAUUUUAAAUUUUAUUUAAAAUAGUAAUUUACAAUAUAUACAGUUUUUAUAAUCAGAUUUUAUUUUAUCUCUUUCAACAGUAUAAAAAAUAGUAGAAUUAAUUAAUCUCUAAAAGCUGGUGUACGAUCAUAGUUUGUUUUUACUUUUUUUAAUAUAUACUAAUUGUAUAUAUUUAUAUAUUGUUAUUUUUUGUAAUAGUUAUUCAUUUUAUUAUUAUAAUUACAAUUAUUAUUACAAGUUUUUCAAUUUAUAUUUGGUGCUGAUAAUGAAAUUGACAAUAGUGGUUAUAAUACUGAAAUGUGUGAACUGAAAUUGAAAAUGAUGAAAUAUUGAGAACCAUAAAUAUCACUGAAAUACUUAAUGGUCAAAUUGGUCAAAAUAUAAAUGAUAUAUUAGAUAUAAAAUGACCGAAACAUUAAAGAUGUGCAGCGCACAUAUUAAAUUUAAUUGCACAGUUGAUAUUCUAGAAUCAGAAAAAGAUAAUUAAUUUAAAGUACUUAGUAGACGUGUGUUUGCUAAAUGUCAAUCUAUUUUCAAUAAGCAGAAUCAAUCGACACAGUGUGCUGAUAAAAUUAAAGAAAUUCUGGGAAGUUAAUAUUAUUUAAAUUUUAAUACUUUAAAAUUGAAUAUCAUGUAUUAUGACUUAAAAGACUUUCAUUAUUAAUAAUAAAAUAAGUUACUAUAAUUUUCAGAUGGAAUUUGUUCUACGAUGCC